GCCCUACUAUACAUUUUUUCACCAACGGAAUCCAUCCAUCUGCAAAUCCAAGCUGCAAUCUUCCUCGAAGCAGGAAGCUCAAAACUUUUCAGAACCACCUUCCAAGCCUACCGGGGGGGUGAGUUUCAGUGGAGCAUUCCUUUACCUGUCAUUAAAGUGUGUAUGAUGGUGUGUGUGAUCUAGAUAUAGACCAAAGUAACUGUCUUACUGCUUUCUUUGUUUGCUCUCUCUCCACAUCAGCAGCUGCCUUCAGUCUUCAAUAAAACAGGGCAGAAGCAUCCACACACACACACACACACACACACACACAGAUGCUGUAAAUAACACCAGCAUAUGCCCCUUUUUACAACUGUGUAAUCUGCACACACACUGAGUCAGAUGAUGAAUCUGUUGCCUGCAGCAUCCGUGUGUUAUACACACCGAUGUGGAUUAAGGUACUGCAGACAAAAGGAGUCAACCUCUCCUCAGUGUGGGGAAAGCCAUCCAAAGAUAAGAGAGAUCUCAUCACCUCAGCGUUAUUUGCAGCCUCCUGCUGCCACGGGGGGCUCCCCACCACAGAUAAUGAAAGAUAAAUAAACCAUAGGAUAUCCAUGCGUAGCGCUGCACAACCUACUGUAGCAAGAUGUUACAAACAAGGGACAAAGCAAAGUGUGGCACAGCUGAAAACAUAUAAAAGAUGCAGGGUGUCCUUUUGCUCUCCUCUCACACACACAGCACUCAUCAUAUCACUCCAGCUAUCACAUAUGAUAUUAACACACUACAGCGUAUACAUCCAUCCCCACUGAGGUAUCGCUGUUUCUGGAGAUCAGUGCAGAUAAAUAAUGCAUGCUGCUGAGACGCGGCACGACUGCUGAACACACACACACACACAUAGUAUAGCGCUUUUUCCAACCAGCACUCGCACACAGCAUGCAACACUUAAGGUGGACACUCUUGCGUUGGACUCUUUUUCUCUUUUGUUGACAUCCGUCCCCCUCAGGACACAACAAAAAAAAAACUCCCAGGAUGCUCCGGUGUUUACGCUUGCAUGCCUGCACACUCUCAAAGUUCAUCGCUCUCACACUGCAUUCACCUUCACACCUGAAUGUCAGCAUCAUAUAUUAUAUAACAUGCAUUAAAAAAAAUAGAAGAAGAAGAAGAAGAAGAAGCAGAAGAAGCGGAGAAAAUUUCACAGGUUUUUUCAAGUUUUUGCCAGGGAAACGAUGAGAGCGCGCUGAGCUGGGAGACGAGUCCCAGCGCUGCCGAGUGAUGAGUCACUUCAGUCGAAUAAACAGCAGAGAGAGAGGAACCAGCGAAAGGAAAAAACAGGAGAAAUGAUCUGUUUAUGUGGACCGUCCAUGUUCCAAGUGUCAGCUACCGGUCGACUGAUGAAGUUGGGGAAUAUUUUGCUUUCUGAGCACCUAAAAUGUCAGAAAAAUUUGAGUUAAUAAAUGA